AACGAACGCUGGCGGCAUGCCUAACACAUGCAAGUCGAACGAGACCUUCGGGUCUAGUGGCGCACGGGUGCGUAACGCGUGGGAACCUGCCCUUAGGUUCGGAAUAACUCCCCGAAAGGGGUGCUAAUACCGGAUAAUGUCUUCGGACCAAAGAUUUAUCGCCUUUGGAUGGGCCCGCGUUGGAUUAGCUAGUUGGUAGGGUAAAAGCCUACCAAGGCGACGAUCCAUAGCUGGUCUGAGAGGAUGAUCAGCCACACUGGGACUGAGACACGGCCCAGACUCCUACGGGAGGCAGCAGUGGGGAAUAUUGGACAAUGGGCGAAAGCAUGAUCCAGCAAUGCCGCGUGAGUGAUGAAGGCCUUAGGGUUGUAAAGCUCUUUUACCCGGGAUGAUAAUGACGGUACCGGGAGAAUAAGCGCCGGCUAACUCCGUG
rnacentral:rRNA from 1 species